rnacentral:ncRNA from 1 species
UCAAAGGCUGAGAAAAGAAACAGUACGCAUUUCGGAUGGUCCAGAGAGAAGACGGCUGGUGUGAGUCUUUCCUGAAAAAAUGCCGAACCCCUCUUUGAGCCGCAGGCCGAACCGUUUUCCUGCCGUAUUUAUCCGGCAGCUGAAGACGUGAGUAAGCCCCGCCGGGUUCUCCCGUAACAGAGAAAGGUAUUGGGCUAUGCCCUGUACCGUGAGCGCGGAUUUUUUCCGAAUUUAGGUGGUACCACGGACCCUGAAGGUUCGCCCUAAGC